rnacentral:tRNA from 1 species
UAGCUCAGUCUGUAUAGAGCAUGAGACUCUUAAUCUCGAGGUCUUGGGUUUGAGCCCCAC